CCUACGGGUGGCUGCAGUAGGGAAUCUUGCGCAAUGGGCGAAAGCCUGACGCAGCGACGCCGCGUGAGCGAUGAAGGCCUUCGGGUUGUAAAGCUCUGUGGGGAGAGAAGAAUAAGUGUUGGCUAAUAUCCAGCAUGAUGACGGUAUCUCCUUAGCAAGCACCGGCUAACUCUGUGCCAGCAGCCGCGGUAAGACAGAGGGUGCAAACGUUGUUCGGAAUUACUGGGCGUAAAGCGCGUGUAGGCGGCUAUGUAAGUCGGGCGUGAAAUCCCACG
rnacentral:rRNA from 1 species